AGUGAACGCUGGCGGUAGGCCUAACACAUGCAAGUCGAACGGCAGCACAGUAAGAGCUUGCUCUUACGGGUGGCGAGUGGCGGACGGGUGAGGAAUACAUCGGAAUCUACUUUUUCGUGGGGGAUAACGUAGGGAAACUUACGCUAAUACCGCAUACGACCUACGGGUGAAGGCAGGGGAUCUUCGGACCUUGCGCGAUUGAAUGAGCCGAUGUCGGAUUAGCUAGUUGGCGGGGUAAAGGCCCACCAAGGCGACGAUCCGUAGCUGGUCUGAGAGGAUGAUCAGCCACACUGGAACUGAGACACGGUCCAGACUCCUACGGGAGGCAGCAGUGGGGAAUAUUGGACAAUGGGCGCAAGCCUGAUGCAGCCAUACCGCGUGGGUGAAGAAGGCCUUCGGGUUGUAAAGCCCUUUUGUUGGGAAAGAAAAGCAGCAGGUUAAUACCCCGCUGUUCUGACGGUACCCAAAGAAUAAGCACCGGCUAACUUCGUG
rnacentral:rRNA from 1 species